CUUGUGUGUGCGCAGAAGAUGUGGUGCCCUUGAAAAACCCAUGAGAACUGAAGGAAUAUUAUGAAAAGGCAAUAUUUUGCUGGGCCAAAUUUCAAAGUGUGAGCAAUCUCCUACUGGAUCUGCCAAAUCCUUAAGUGGGCAGGGGCAAGGAAGAGGAAAUGAAGACAUGUCAUAACGUGGUGUUUGGCUGCCAAGUCUGUCUUUCACAAUAUGAAUCCAUAUGACAAAUGUCCCUAUUGUAGCCAACUCACAUGGAUGGAAAGGUUGGAUGCACUACAGAGACAUAAUUCUGAUAGCUGUCUGCAGUGUCUUCCACAAGUUGAAGUAUAC